GUGGGGAAUAUUGGACAAUGGGCGAAAGCCUGAUCCAGCCAUGCCGCGUGUGUGAAGAAGGUCUUCGGAUUGUAAAGCACUUUAAGUUGGGAGGAAGGGCAGUAAGUUAAUACCUUGCUGUUUUGACGUUACCGACAGAAUAAGCACCGGCUAACUUCGUGCCAGCAGCCGCGGUAAUACGAAGGGUGCAAGCGUUAAUCGGAAUUACUGGGCGUAAAGCGCGCGUAGGUGGUUUUGUAAGUUGGAGGUGAAAUCCCCGGGCUCAACCUGGGAACUGCCUCCAAAACUGCAUGACUAGAGUACGGUAGAGGGUAGUUGAAUUUCCUGUGUAGCGGUGAAAUGCGUAGAUAUAGGAAGGAACACCAGUGGCGAAGGCGACUACCUGGACUGAUACUGACACUGAGGUGCGAAAGCGUGGGGAGCAAACAGGAUUAGAAACCCGUGUAGUCC
rnacentral:rRNA from 1 species